AAUAAAAAAAUUUGAUGGACCUAUUUUUAAUGAAAAAAAUAUUUUAUUACAUUUAAAACUUAAUAUAUACACUUAUGUGAACUUGUUUAGACCUGUUAAUAUAAAUACUGGAAAAAAAUACAAAUUCUUGCUUAACAAAUCAAAUUCUCAAAAUAUGUCUGUUUUUUAUAUUUAUAAUAAAAUAAAAUACUUUUGUUCGGUAUUGAAUGAGUUGAUUUUUUGGAGGGAAAGUUGUAUCUCUCGAGUUACUACUGACAUCGGUACUGAUAAGGAUGUUGCUGUUGAUACCACAAACCCCAUCAGUGCUAACACACAUGAGGUGACUAACAAAAUCACCCUCUUCCACUUCAGAAAAAAAAUAAAUAAUUUCUUUUUAUUUUUACAUUUUAAUAAAAACAAAUUUCAAUUUAGUUUAAAUAGUGUCAUAUGUCAUUAUAUAAAAAAACAUACCACUAAUACUGAUUCGUAUGAUGAUACGUCUACUCACUUCAACUAUCUUCUUUUUCUUAAAAACAUUUGUGACUUUUUUUCUGUUUGUUUUGUUAACGAAAAUGAAUUUAUUGAUUGUGAUAGAGCUGUUAAUGAGGAUAUUUUUCAUCAUAUUUAUCCACAAGAAGAAAAAAAAAAAAAAACACCAGAGAUGCAAAAAUGCUAUACUAAAAUAGGAACAACCAAAAUAAAUUUAAAUUCCCAAAAGAAUGUCUCACUAGUACCCAUAAAAGAAGAAUGUUAUAGCUCGUAUCCAUUUUUUUUAAAAAUGGAGAAUAUCACAUCGCUUUUGAGAGGAAACUUACGCGUAAACAACUCACAAAAGGACCCACCUGUGGGAAAUAUAUACGAAUGUAAAAACAUUCCACACUCAAAGCAGUACUUAGAGCAGCACUCAGAGCAGCACCCAAACCAACAGACGGAUAACGAUUCAUCAUUUGAUUACAUUUCUAAUGAGGAUAACAAAUGCAGAGACAGUGAUGAUAGAGAUAGUAUAGCAGACGUUAGCAGUAAUACCUCCACCAGUAGCAGUAGAAGUAGUUCUGGUGGAAAAUAUACAAACACAGAUAAACGAGAAAAAAAACAAAAGGAUGAAAAAAGCGAAAAAAAUUCUUAUGAAGAUUUGAUUGCAAAAAAUUAUUUACAUAAGUAUGAGAAAUUAAAAAAUGUGAAUAGUCUGUGGGGUAGGUUCUUUAAACCUAAUAGUCUUUAUGAGGUUGCUGGUCAUAAAAAUGAAAUUAUAAAACUAUAUAAGUUAUUGAAAGAUAUAAAUCGGAAAGAUAAUGUAGGUAAUGAAAAGGGUAUUGACAGUGGAAAUGGAAAUGGCAAUGGAAAUAACAGUGGGAUUUGCCGUUUUAAUAAAAAGUCAAAACAAGAAAUCAAAACAAGAGAUACAAAAACUGUUACUAAGAAGACUGUCGAAAUAAAUCAGAGUAAAAAUCAGAACAGAAAUCACAAUAUUAUACUUUUAAUAUACCCACCUAAUUGUUGUAUUAAAAGAGUAGUAGAAUUAAUAUGUUAUGCUUGUGAUUUGUGUCCAAUAUAUGAAAGUAAAGUACAACAAUAUAAAAAUAUAAAUUAUUUUUUUAAAUAUACACAUGGAUUAAAAGCAAUAUCUAUAUAUAAUGCAAACAAAUUAGAUAAAUUAGAUAUAACUGAGUUAAGUAAUAGAAAUGAAACUUGUAUUUGUUUAUACGAAUCUACUUAUUCAGAAAUGAAUAAUAAUAAUAAUAAUAAUAAUAAUAAUAAUGUUAGUAAUAUUGUAG
ensembl:lncRNA